UACUCUUGACAUCCAGUGAACUUAGCAGAGAUGCUUUGGUGCCUUCGGGAACACUGAGACAGGUGCUGCAUGGCUGUCGUCAGCUCGUGUUGUGAAAUGUUGGGUUAAGUCCCGUAACGAGCGCAACCCUUGUCCUUAGUUACCAUCAUUAAGUUGGGGACUCUAAGGAGACUGCCGGUGACAAACCGGAGGAAGGCGGGGACGACGUCAAGUCAUCAUGGCCCUUACGAGUAGGGCUACACACGUGCUACAAUGGCCAGUACAGAGGGUUGCAAUACCGCGAGGUGGAGCUAAUCCCACAAAGCUGGUCGUGGUCCGGAUUGGAGUCUGCAACUCGACUCCAUGAAGUCGGAAUCGCUAGUAAUCGUGAAUCAGAAUGUCACGGUGAAUACGUUCCCGGGCCU
rnacentral:rRNA from 1 species